rnacentral:lncRNA from 1 species
GUUGUUAGUUUUAAUGACAGGUUUUUCAGGUCUUUCUCUAAACCAGGGCUUGGCAAAUUUUUUCUGUAAAAGGCCAGGUCAUAAAUAUCUUAGAUUUUGCAGGUUAUAUGGUCACUGUUGCUCAACUCUGCCAUUUUAGCUCAAAAGCAGCCAAGCUAUUAAUAAAAAAAUAGGCAGGCUGUGUUUCCAUAAGACUUUAUUUACAAAAACAAGAGGUGGGCUGGAAUUAGCCUGGAGGCCGUAGUUUGCCAACAAUCUCUAGAUUAUUCAAAUAAUUGGGGGAGGUUGGGAGGGGAGAGGACACAGAGGCCUUUCAACCCCCAUAAAUCCAUACCACAUAGCUAAUUACGCUCACUGAAAAGUCUUCCUUGAAUAAGUGAGAUGCUAAUGGAUCCAGCCAGUUUCUAGCAGCAAUUAAGUUAUAUUGAAAGUAUUAAAUGUCCAGUGUCCCUAUGUAAUUUUCCUCCUACCUCCUGUUCUUUUUUUUCAGUGAGGAAGAUUGGCCCAGAGUUAACAUCUGUUGCCAGUCCUCCUCUAUGUUGUCUGUAAGAUGCCAGCACGGCAUAGCUUGACAAGAGGUGUGUAGGUCCAUGCCCAGGAUCCGAACCCAUGAACCCCAGGCCACUGAAGCAGAGUGUACAAACUUAACCACUACGCUACCGGGCCAGCCUCUCUCUCUCUCUUUUUUUUUAAUGGAACUGAGCCAUAGAAGCAGUGUUUCUUUCAUGAGCAGACAUGCUUCCUUUCAUUGUUUCAUUGAAGAAAGUCUAUCAAGCUUCUCUCUUUGCCUUGGUCAUUAGGAAACUCACAAAAAAGUUUUGAGCUCUAUUGCUGUAGUUUUCCUCAGCCUUGAUAAAACUUUCUCUUCUUCUUCCCGUUUGAUCUGACAUUUUUUCCUUAAUUUGUUGUUAAUGAUGUAUUGCUAUCAUAUUAUAGUCACUGAAGUCAGCUCUAAUUCUUUUGGGAAGGAGUGAGAAGUAAAAUAUAGACUGAAGAGAAGUACAUGAGAGAUAUUUGGAAGAAAGAACGGGAUUUUUGCUGAUGAAACUAGAGCCACUUCGUAAACCAUGUCAGGCAAACAUAUGCUUCAGAUGAGCAUGUUUGACCAUAUUGCAGGGUUGAAAACAUUUCCCUACAAUUGUGCAGACAGACAAAACAGUCUGCUAGUCCAGACACCUUAUGGAAGGUGUAUCACAUUCUAUGUUUGUAAGUGACCUAACUCUGACCGCUCAGCGAUCACAUUUGACCUCCACGGGCAAGCUGACUGGCGGGGGUGGGGCUCUUCCUCCAUCCUGGAAGCUGCUUUGAAGGUCUGUAGCUCCGGGGCACAGGCUUGCUGCUUCCUGGGAUCAUUAAAAUAAACUCUGAGGAUCUUCUGAUGGCAGCCAAUGAGUUGGGAUGAGAGAAGUGGAGCAGGGCAAGGGGGAUAAGAACAGCAGGAACCAUUGCUGAACUGUCUGAAUAAUGCCCUUAACAUGGAGCUAGGCUAGCCCCUUCUACCUUAUCUCAAAGACCAGAAGGAAGCAUGGCAAGCUGGGAAAGGCAGUGGACCAGCAGCUAGAAGAUUUGUAUGUAGCCUGGCCUCUGUCUAUAACAUGUUCAUUGAUUCAACCAUUAUGAAAUCAAGGGUGAUUUAAAACCUUAACCAAAGCAUCCUGCCCCGCCACACACACAAAAACACUCAGCAGUAGAGGAAUAUUUCUCAAAUGAGUGGAUGAAUCUCACCUCCCUUCCCUCUCUAUUCCUGCGUCCUUCUCCUCUCACGCCCUAGUUACACAGCUGAGCUAACCUGUGAUCAACUUUUUUGCAUGGUAUUGCAGUGUAAAGUCUCUCCUUAGGCAAAUCCAUGUAGAAGUUUUGUGGUCCCAAAGACUCUCUUGCUCAGUGACGGACAGGCUGUGAAGCACUUCAGAGAAGUCAGUAAACUCCAGGGGUGAUGAGGCAAUAAGCAGACCUCUUAGAGACCCUUAGUGUCACCAAGACCUGGCUUUAAUACCCAGGAUGAACUUCAAACCCACAGUGACAAUUGUGGGUCUAUGUCUUGCCCGGCAGCAGCACUCCCAGCAGUCAAGUGGAGGAAAUGUCAAGACUUUGCAUGAAACCCAGGAUCUCUAAAAUAGGUGGCAAAGACCAUAUCAUCCUAACUCUGUUGUUUGUUAUUUUAAUAUGGUGCAGAUGAAUCAACCCACAGUUGAGCAAAUAGCCCAGACCGCAUUACUGUGAAUAAACGCACAGUUUCCAUGUGGCUUUGAAAAUGUGAAUGUUACAGCAUGAAAAUACGUCUCAUUUUUUUCAAUCCCUAAUGGUCAGAGGAGCCCAGGCUAAAAACCAUGAACUAAUGCAGAGCUCUUCAUUAUGAUGUACCUUGUGAUGAAGUGAAUAUCAUUGACCAGAGUUUUUUCAAGGGAACGAAGAAGAGGAAGAGGAAGCUAGCGGAGCGUGGUCAGGUGCUGUACUGACAGUACAGUUCUAAUGUGGCAUUGUGUUGUCAGGCUUGGCUGAUCCUCGCAUCAAAAGAGCCAUCAAUCUUCCCCAGAUCUAUACAGAUCCGUCCUGGGUCAGAAGAAUAAUCAAUAACCCUUAGUUCUCACUUCACAAAAACAAAGGAGCUGUUGGAUUGUUUACCUUUCAGAUUGUGUCUUGAUUAGGGAUCAUUAGUGGCCAUUGUGGAACGAAACUCUCUGUGUAUAGCU